AACGCACAUUGCGCCCCUCGGUAUUCCGUGGGGCAUGCCUGUUCGAGCGUCAUUUACAACCCUUCAAGCUCUGCUUGGUGUUGGGCGUUUGUCCGCGCCUCUCCGCGCGUGGACUCGCCCCAAAGGCAUUGGCAGCCCCGGCCGACGAACGCCCUCGCAGCACAACUUGCGCAGGGACCGGCGGCGUCGGGUGGCGACCCAUCAAGAUCUCCUUCCACGUUUGACCUCGGAUCAGGUAGGGAUACCCGCUGAACUUAA
rnacentral:misc_RNA from 2 species